GAUGAACGCUAGCUACAGGCUUAACACAUGCAAGUCGAGGGGCAGCAUUUUAGUUUGCUUGCAAACUAAAGAUGGCGACCGGCGCACGGGUGAGUAACACGUAUCCAACCUGCCGAUAACUCGGGGAUAGCCUUUCGAAAGAAAGAUUAAUAUCCGAUAGUAUAUUAAAACCGCAUGGUUUUACUAUUAAAGAAUUUCGGUUAUCGAUGGGGAUGCGUUCCAUUAGAUAGUAGGCGGGGUAACGGCCCACCUAGUCUUCGAUGGAUAGGGGUUCUGAGAGGAAGGUCCCCCACAUUGGAACUGAGACACGGUCCAA
rnacentral:rRNA from 1 species